rnacentral:rRNA from 1 species
GGCUCAGGAUGAACGCUAGCUACAGGCUUAACACAUGCAAGUCGAGGGGAAACGAUAUUGGAAGCUUGCUUCCGAUAGGCGUCGACCGGCGCACGGGUGAGUAACGCGUAUCCAACCUGCCCAUCACUUGGGGAUAACCUUGCGAAAGUAAGACUAAUACCCAAUGACGUCUCUAGAAGACAUCUGAAAGAGAUUUAAAGAUUUAUCGGUGAUGGAUGGGGAUGCGUCUGAUUAGCUUGUUGGCGGGGUAACGGCCCACCAAGGCGACGAUCAGUAGGGGUUCUGAGAGGAAGGUCCCCCACAUUGGAACUGAGACACGGUCCAAACUCCUACGGGAGGCAGCAGUGAGGAAUAUUGGUCAAUGGACGAGAGUCUGAACCAGCCAAGUAGCGUGCAGGGAGACGGCCCUAUGGGUUGUAAACUGCUUUUAUAAGGGAAUAAAGUGAGUCUCGUGAGACUUUUUGCAUGUACCUUAUGAAUAAGGACCGGCUAAUUCCGUG